rnacentral:rRNA from 1 species
GCAGUCUGCAACUCGAGUGCAUGAAGCUGGAAUCGCUAGUAAUCGCGGAUCAGAAUGCCGCGGUGAAUACGUUCCCGGGUCUUGUACACACCGCCCGUCACACCAUGGGAGUCGGAAAUGCCCGAAGCCGGUGACUCAACCUUUAAGGAGAGAGCCGUCGAAGGCAGGUCUGAUAACUGGGGUGAAGUCGUAACAAGGUAAC